CCCUUAGAUGUCCUGGGCCGCACGCGUGCUACACUGAUGCAUUCAACGAGUAUUUCCUUGGCCGAGAGGCCUGGGCAAUCUUUUAAACCUGCAUCGUGAUAGGGAUAGAUUAUUGCAAUUAUUAAUCUUGAACGAGGAAUUCCUAGUAAACGCAAAUCAUCAAUUUGCAUUGAUUACGUCCCUGCCCUUUGUACACACCGCCCGUCGCACCUACCGAUUGAAUGGUCCGGUGAAAUCUCGGGAUUGUGGCCAGUUCACUUUAUUGGGAGUUGGCUGCGAGAACUUGCUUAAACCUUAUCAUUUAGAGGAAGGUGAAGUCGUAACA
rnacentral:rRNA from 1 species